UGCCAGCAGCCGCGGUAAGACGGAGGGAGCAAGCGUUGCUCGGAAUCACUGGGCGUAAAGGGCGUGUAGGCGGGACAGCAAGUCGGGUGUGAAAGCCCGGGGCUCAACCCCGGAAGUGCAUUGGAAACUGGCGAACUUGAGUACGGGAGAGGAAAGUGGAAUUCCGAGUGUAGGGGUGAAAUCCGUAGAUAUUCGGAGGAACACCAGUGGCGAAGGCGGCUUUCUGGACCGAUACUGACGCUGAGACGCGAAAGCGUGGGGAGCAAACAGGAUUAGAUA
rnacentral:rRNA from 1 species